rnacentral:lncRNA from 1 species
GAAUCAGGAUUUUAAUCCGGGGGCCAAAGUGUAAAAAAAAAAAAUUAAAAAUUUUAUAAUUUCUUGAAAGUCGGGGGGAGGCGCAGCCUCUGGCCACCCCCUGGGUCCGCCCCUGCAUUCAAUUAAUAGUUAGUAAUAUUAUUGUGAUGAUUUUCUGCUUGGAUUUGUUGAAAACCCAAGAUAAUGGCUUAAGUUAAAUAUAAAUAUAGCUUAUUCAAUGUUUUUUGGGGGGAUCUACUAAUUUUCUUUGGCGAUAUAAUGGUUUAAAUUUAAAGAUUCAUAAUUUUGGUCUAAAACAAAUAAACCGAAAUUAUUCAAAUUGAACUGUUGAAUUUAUACUCUAUUUGAUUUGGUUUGGUUUUGGCUUGGGCAAAAUUAAAAAAAUUUGUUUUUUAGAUUCAAAUUUUGGUUCAAAACUGAAACAAAAAAACGUUUACCCCUAUUGGAAGUAGACAAAAAGGAAGUGUUUCCUUAACCAACCAAAUCAUCAAGCAAAUUUUCAUAGAAAAAUUAACUUUAAUAAGAUUUCCAACAUGAUAUGUAUGAAAAUGCUAACCAUGGUUUAGUGAGUGGUGGUUAAUAAAAAAAAAGUAUUAAAAUGUGUGAAAAAUAUAUAAAAAAGUGUAAGAAUAUAUUAAAAAAUAUAAAAAGUGUAUUGAAUUUUUUUUUUUAAUCAUUUUAUGAUUCUUAAACACAACCCCAGUAGGACCCAGUUUGGGUUAGUAGUUUUAUUAUUAUUAUUAUUAUUAUUGUUAUUAUUAUUUUAUUUUUAGUGAUUUUUUUCUCCAUUUGAUUAAAAUUUUAUAUUUUUCAGUUCCUUUUAAAUAAUAGUUUUUUUGUCUUUAAUUCACUUUUUUAGAAUUAGGUGAAAAUUUUAUACUUUCAGACUCCUCUCGUCAAGAUGAAGAGACAAAGUAUAAAAUUUUGAUCAAACGACAAAAAAAAAUCACUAAAUGCAAAAAAAAAUUCAAAUAUCAACAAAUAAAAAAAACUACAAAAACUAUUAACCCAAAUCGGGCCUCAGUAUUUUGUACAAAGUAAAAAAAAAAUUAAAAUUUUCUUGCUCACCUAAAUUGUCCUUGUCGCAUUCACUCUAGUUGGUCCCAUUUAAAGUUUCAAAGUUUAAUAAAUCUACUCACCAGUGAGGAAGAAAAUUUAUAAAUUUUGUUAAUUUACAUAGCAUUUUUCAUAUAAUAUUAUUAUCUAGAUAAACAAAUCAUUUAUAAGCAAAGCAAAAAAUACUAAAACUUGUCUUGCUUACAUCCAGGGAAGGCAUUCCCUUAAAUAGAAAGAAAAUAAUUAAAUCGGUACACUUUGGGGCCCCUCGACACUUAAUAAAGAUUCUUCUAUGAAAAUUGAGCCAGCUUUUUUUUCCUCAAUACUGAGGUAUAGAUGAAGGCUCGGACUAAAACAGUAAAAGGUAAUAAUUCCUUUUUCAAAAAAGCCAAAACAUGGGCUCUGCCGACACUUUGCUUAAUUGCAAUUAUUUCUCUUCCAUUUGUUAAAUGAUGCCAUGAAGUUGGCCAUCUGUCCAUCUUUCUUUGGGAUUCCAUUCCUGUUCUAAUGAGAUAAUCUUCAUCUUCAGACUCCUGGCCUUCACCAGCUAACACCUUAUUGUCUUCGUUGUCCAUUGCCCAUUGAAGAAUCUUCUUUUUGAAAAGAGAUAGUAACUGAUUCUGAAAUAGUCUAAGCACUUUAGCCAUAAGCUCUCGGCCUCAGAAAUAUUAGGAAAUGACUUUUAUUUGGCCUUUCAAAAUUUCAAUAGGAUCCACUUGGAUUGGGUAACAAAGAAAAGAUAUUUCCUUUCUAUUUAAUUGAUAUUGGGAGAAAUAUUCAUGCCGCUUUGAAUAAUUAAAGAGCAUCACUCUUUAACCUCUGUUUUGGACCACCAAUCUGACCAGUAAUGUCUGUAAGAGUUCGCAUUAAUUAAUUCAUCUUUCUUAAUUGAAAGAUCCCAUCUCCAUAUCCGGGAUGCUGAACUCAAUCAAAGAAUAAUACCCUAUUAUAAUAUAUGCGUAACUCAUUCUUUCCUCUGAUUUGAGGAUGCCAUUUUUCGCAUCUGUGAAAACCGUCAAAAUAUUAGAAGGUAUAAUUUUUUCGAGUAUAUUUCAUCAUUCUCGUUCUUCGCCACGAUAUUGGCUAAAGUCUUCCUUAUUAUCUGACGUCUGUUUCUUUCUCCUUAUUAUUAGGAGUCUUCUGCUUUGAUUUUUAUGGAGGAUGAUGAACCAAGAUGCCCCACGCCCUCUUAAAACAUUGCUUAGGAGUAACCAUAAUAAACCCCUCAUCAUCAAUUAGGGAGAAGAAGAUUCUUCCGGAGUGCCCUUAUGGAAUGCGAUAUGUCCCUUUCCUCUAUUAGCCACACUCAAAAUAUUAACCAUGUAACCACAUAUAAUUUGGCUAAUUGAUCUUUUAGAUCAUCAAUUUUAACUCGAGUACUCCACAUUUUAUCGAAGUCUUGAAUAAAGGAGUCCCUCAUUAAAUCAAUAACAGUAUAUCUGGUUGACACCCACUCUAGAAAUUGUUUUUCAAGACAUCUAUUUCUCUUAAAAUAAUAUUAAUUUGUCCUUCUUUGUUUUCCUUAAUCAUACUAAAACAAAGAAAAGCAAUAUUGCUUUAUUAUUUUUGAGUUUAUUAACUUCCCAAUCUUUUUCUUUUCUAGCUUGUCUUUCCUCUAUCAAGCCAAUGAAAAAGCCUCGCCACAUAUAAUACGAACUAGGUAGGAUCAAAUUAAUAUCAGGAUUAUCUUCCUUUUAGUAAAUUGUUUAUCAUUAAAACUGAAACUGCUCUCUCAGCCUGCUUCAGGCUUUUCUGAGUUUUAUUAUUUAAUUUUCUGAUAUUUUUCAGAAUUAAUCAUUUAUAACAAGAUAAUUUUGUUUAGCUUUUCUUUUUAAAGAUGAAAUGCAAUUCAUUUGCAAUAAAUUCACUCAUAUAAUCAAAAUAUUGACACCUUAUUCUUAACAACUGUUCAUGGUUGUCAGAAUUUCAAGUGUUGAAAGGAUUUUUAUUCAAUUUCCUUCUUUGUUGAUCAGUUAUCUUAAUGAUAUUUGAUGGGAUUUGUAAAUAUACAAUCUAUAUUUCCUUUUUAAUGCCAUAUUGCAUUAUUAUUCAUAAUUACUCAGUUUGAUAAUGAAAAUAGUAACAGUGAAUAAUUUUGGAAGAACAAAAGAUAAUUAUUCCUUUGUUCCAAAAUAGUAAUUUCUCUCAGAUUUAUUCAUUUUUCUGAUUUUAUUGUCACUAAUCAUUGUGACCAUGUAAAAAUUCCUGGUAAGAAAAUCAUGGGGGAGAGAAUUAGAAUCUCCGUUAAUUAUAAUCAAUUUCAAAAUCAAAGAAGAUAAUUCAGCUUGCCAUCUAGCAAAUAGUUGUUUUGAGGCAAGAUUUUUAAUAUUUUUUUCAAAUUUGUUUAACUGCAGAGCAGUCAACUCUCAAGAUGAAAGUUUUGAUUUAAGAAAUCAUCUUGAAAUUUAGAAAUUACAUUAAACAACAGAAAGCAUUUAUUUCCUUUGCAGUGUGAAUAAUUUUUGUGCGAAUUUUCACAUCCUGAAGUAAAACGAAUUAAUCUUCUUUUUAUUUCAGGAUUGAUUGUUUUAAAAUGUCCAACCAUAACCAAUGUGGAUGCAAUCAUUUUCAACAACCUUUUUCCAAUGAUUUUGGCCAAGAGAAGAGAUAAAUAAGGAAGCUGUUUUACCUUGAAUUUUAUUUUUGAAACAGCCUUGCUAUGCUCUCAAGUCCAUGGGGACGGAUCUUUUUUUCAAUCUUGAAUCUAAAAAUGAUUGCAUCUUGUGCCAAGCAUUUGGAUAAUAAUCCGAAAUAUAAUUUAAACUUCCCCAAAAUCUUUGGAGUUGGGUUUUUUCCCUUAUUUAUUAGGAAAUUUAGAAGCAAAUGAAAGAAGGUAUAUAAGGAGAAAGGAGUGGCCUCAUCCCCCCUUGUUAAUUAGUUAUGUCCCAAAAAUCUCACUGUAGUUUGAAAUAAUUUCAUUUUUGGGGCUGAUAAAACCAAACCAUUUCUUUAACAACAUCUUUAAAAAAUAUUUAAAUGUUUUUAAAGUCUUGUUGCUCAAUAUGUUCCGAAAAUAUUAAAACAUCAUCAAUAUAGACGAUAGAAAAGAAUCCGAAUAGGGAUAAAAAAUCUCAUCAUUAUAUUUUGAAAUUCUGAAGGGGCAUUCUUCAGACCAAAGGCAAACAUUCCAUUCUAAGCCCAAAGACAACAAAAGUGUUUUAUAUCUAUCAGAUUCAUUAAUUUGAAUCUGCCAAUAUCCAGAUUUAAUUCACUUUGAAAAAAUAUUGUUGCCAGAAUUUAAUCUGGUCUAAUAAAAUCCUUUUUAUUAGGAAUAGGUACCUUAUCCAUUUUAAAACAGAAUUAAGAGAUUAUAGUUAAAAACUAAUCUGGAAACACCUCUUCUUGUUCAACAGCUUUAUUCACAAUUAAAAAGCUUUACAGAUCAAGGGAAGAAGAAGAAGUUUUUCCUUAUUAACUGUUUUUUCCAUAAUAUUUGAAAGAAAAAAAUUUUUUUUUUUUACAAAAGAUCUAAAUAAUCUUGUUUCAUUGUGCAGGUCUGGGCAUUCGUGGAAUAUUAAACUGUCAUCAAAAUCAUUUCAUAGGGAGAGAAACAAUAUGCUCUUUCUAUCCCAGAAGGCAUUGGAUAUCACUACAAAACAGUUUAUGAAAUGGUUCUAAUAACUGUUGUAUUUUUAUUUGUUACAAAAAAUUCUGUAAUUGUUGUUCAAUUAGAGAUUUGAUAAAUUUCUCUUUAGGAAAAUUUAUUUAUUUCUCUUUGAAACAUAUUUUAUCCUUAAGCUCAUUAUUAGCUUUUUAUUAGGUUGUUGUAAUAUUGAAUUAAAAAUAAUAUGUGAUUCUGUAUAGUUGCAAUUUAUAUUCCACUAGAAGCAAUUGUCAAAUGGCAUUAUUCAUUGAGAAAAAGGAAAGAUACUAAUAGAUCUCCUGAGAAGCCAAAUAUUUUUACCCCAUUAGAAAAGCAGUAGGCGAAUUCCCUUAUGCAAAUUUGUGCAAUUAAUUUAUAUUUAAUAUUCUAUUUCUAACACUAGCAUUAGAAACAACUUGGGUAGUUUGUUCAAACUAUUGGCUAGGAAUCAAUCCUCUUGGAUACAAUUCAUGUCUGCCACACUAUCCAAUUUCCAAGUGCAAUAGCAUUUUUCAAUAAUAAAUUCAUUGAACCACUAGAGCAAUUCUAACAUACCAUUUGGUAUAAAACCUGAUUCAUAUUAAUAAUCAGAAGAGGAUGAUUUUCUUCUUUUGUUUUCUUCGUAUCUUGAUGAUACAGUUCUUGUCCUUUAUAAUUGGGACAAACUAUUAAUGUGAAAACCUAAAUCAAGUAAGUUUUCUAUCUUGAAUAGCAUCUUUUUCCCUAAGAUUUGCUUUAGAUGCUUUAUUUCUGAUUUAAGAGUAUUUAUUCUCUUUUUAAAAUCAUAAUUUGAACCUGUUUAGAGACAUCAUUAUUGCUCUAUUCUUCAUAUACUUCUUUCAAGGAAUAUCUUGCGUUAGUGAUUAUGAUAAUCCCAUGGCUAUGUACCAUAGGUUUUUCACUAGGAUUCCCCUUUUAUAACAGGAUUUUAUAAUUUUCUUUUUCAUUAUUAUUAGAAAGUUGUUCUAUAAAUCCGAGGACAUUUUCUGAUCACAGAAAUAAAACCUUGAUACUAGGUUAUUAACCUUUCAAAGACUUAAAUGAUUAUUUGAAGUUUUAGAACAAAAAACAAUUUCUGUGUUCUGACUUGUUUUUUUUUUUUUUUUUUUUUUUUUCCUCAUAUAGAGAGUUAUAGUCUUCUAAUACAGUCAAUUCAUCAUAAGAGAUAUUCAAAAUCUGAAUCUUCUUCUGAUUCUGAUUCAGAAGGAACUACUAUUUAUUAGUAGUUUACUAAUUGGAUUUUAAUUCUUUAUCAAGUUCCAAAUUAUUGAAUUUUUGGUCAAUUACAUUUAGUGGAAGAGGUCCUGGUCUUCCACAUUUUAGCAUAUUAUAUCUUUCUUUUUAGUUAUUAACUGAGAAGAGAUUUCUAUAUUUUUCUUUACUAUAAUUUUCUUGGAGGGUUUGUGAGUCUUAUAUGACUUUUAUAACCCUUCUAGGUUUCUUAUGUAAAUGUUUAGAAACAUGUUUCUAUGUUUAUUUUCAUAUUUAUUCUCUUUUAUGAGAUUUGUUGAGUAUUAUAGGGCAGUGGAAUAUCCACUGCAAAAUUGAUCACAAGAAUUGGGCCCAAUUCUUUUCGCUAUUUCUAUUUUGAUGUUUAAUUUCUUUCUGUAAUUUCAAUUCAUUACAGAGUUUUAGUUUCUUCUUUUAUAACAGCGGCCAAUUAUGGCCAUAUUGUAUAAUAUAUCAAAAUGAUAGGACCUUGAUAUCCUGUAAUUCAAUUCUUACCCUUUCAGCAAAUUAAUUUGGGUAAUCAUCUAUAAAUUUAAGCUUUCCAAUAAGGCGAUGACCGGGCAUCUUUUCUCCCCAUCACUUUGCUAAAAAAGACAUUCUUGGUACCAUCUGAAAUGUGCUUAAAGGAACACAUUUUAGAUUUUGCAAAAGAUAUGUCUCUGGCUUUCAGUAUUACUAUGAUUAGUGCCACAAAAGUGCAAAACAAUGGAUGAAUGAGGGUAUGAUUAAGAUCAGAUUUUUGAAUUUCUUAUCCCUUCUUUAUUCAUUCGUUUGACAAGAAGUUAAAAUUUUAUUCCUUUGGCUUUGGUUGAGAAAAUUUUCCACCAACCUUUAAGGAUCCCAAAAAGCCACAUAUUAAUAUAGGCAAACUCUUUUUCGGAUUCCAUUUGACUUGGAAAACAGUAGCAUUAAAUCACAUUUGAUGACAUAUAACCUUCUCAAUUUGAUAAUUCAAUAAGCCCAUCAAAUUCAACCAUAAACCUGACUUCCUGAAAAGAAAAGGUUGAUAUUGGUAUGUUUUUCUCAAUAAGUAGAUCUGAGGAGUGGGUUUUGGAUAAUAGUGUCUUUCCUGAUCCAAAGAAAGCCAGCGAAUGUUGCUGUUUGGAUGAAAUUUUUUUAAAUCAUUUGUUUCUUGAAUAACUCUUUCAAGUUUUCAAGAUUUUCUUCUUCUUCAAUAUCAGGGUGGUUAUAUUUAAUCAUUAUUUAAUACUUAAACUUUUUAAAUUUGGUUGGUAAUUCUUUAACGAAUUAUUUAUUGAAUAAUUAUCCAUAAAAUUAAACUUUUAAUGGGAUAGGAGGGUUUAAUUUGAACUCCUAAUUUUAAAAGGUUUAAAAUAAUUAUCUUGCUUCUUUCCUUUUUAUCUAUAAUUUCAAUUAUAUGUUGAACGUGAUUUUCAACCUAGUUAAUUGAUUACCAAUGUUGUAAAUUUAAAUUGGUUUUUAAAAAUAUUUUGUUAAUAAUCUAUUAACCAUAUUUAUCUCCUGCCGGUAGAAGAAAGCAGUAGUAGCCUUCAAUAUUAUGAGUUUCCCCUUUACAUUACUACCUCCUAUACAAUAAUAGAAGUUGUAGGAAGAUGAAUAGAUUGGACGACAAUAUUCAUGAUGUUGUUCAAUGUAUAGUAUAUUUUCGU